rnacentral:rRNA from 1 species
UACGUAGGGGGCAAGCGUUGUCCGGAUUUAUUGGGCGUAAAGAGCUCGUAGGCGGUUUGGCAAGUCGGGUGUGAAAACUCCGGGCUCAACUCGGAGACGCCACUCGAUACUGCCAUGACUUGAGUCCGGUAGGGGAGUGCGGAAUUCCUGGUGUAGCGGUGAAAUGCGCAGAUAUCAGGAGGAACACCGGUGGCGAAGGCGGCACUCUGGGCCGGUACUGACGCUGAGGAGCGAAAGCGUGGGGAGCGAACAGG